UACGUAGGGUCCGAGCGUUGUCCGGAAUUACUGGGCGUAAAGAGCUCGUAGGUGGUUUGUCGCGUUGUCCGUGAAAACUCACAGCUCAACUGUGGGCGUGCGGGCGAUACGGGCAGACUGGAGUACUGCAGGGGAGACUGGAAUUCCUGGUGUAGCGGUGGAAUGCGCAGAUAUCAGGAGGAACACCAAUGGGCGAAGGCAGCUCGCUGGGACGUGAACUGACGCUGGAG
rnacentral:rRNA from 1 species